AGCAGACCCUGCUGCUACCCUGCAGCGUGGUCUGGAGGUGUGCUCAUGCUCCCAACCACCCCGAGCCUUGCUCUACACCUACUCUGACUCUCUCUGCUUUCAUGCAGGUUCCGCAGCUCCGUGUGUCUCUCCCUGUGUUUCCAUCCUGUCGAACGCUCGGAGCCUGCCCUGCACACAUUUCAGAAGCGAAGGGCUUUCCUAAUUACAGUGCGAACAAUCCGAGGCUGGCUUUUCUCCUGCCGCUACCUGUUGCUCUGAAUGGAUUCGGUGAAAGGAAGCUUUGGGAUGGCAACACUGAAAUUCUAAGCCCUGCAAGAAGAGGAGACGUCACAGGGCGUAAGGCCACUGGACUGUGCAGCCCAAAGGCAGCGAAUGGGAGCAGUGAGCCUGGCACCUUCUGAAAGAAACAGACAUUUGUGAGCAGCUGUGUUCAAGGGUGAAGCACAGGAAGAGUAACGUUUCAUCCAACAUCCCUGAUGAACACCAUCAGACCUCACUGAGAGCUGCAGCCACUGCCGCCGAACCACACUGAUGUGUUAGCAAGGUCAAAUAUCCCACUGGUUUGAUGGCUUUGUUGCUCUCUUUUUUCUACUCUUAUAAUAAAAUAUUAAAAAUUA
ensembl:lncRNA